UUGGAGGGCAGUCUGGUGCCAGCAGCCGCGGUAAUUCCAGCCCCAAUAGCGUAUAUUAAAGUUGUUGCAGUUAAAAAGCUCGUAGUUGAAUUUCGGGGUUAGUAGGUUGGUCAUGCCACUGGUAUGUACUGGUCUCACUGAUUCCUCCUUCCUGAUGAGCCGUAAUGCCAUUAAUUUGGUGUUGCGAGGAAUCUGGACUGUUACUUUGAAAAAAUUAGAGUGUUUAAAGCAAGCUAACGCUUGAAUACAUUAGCAUGGAGUAAUGAAAUAGGACGUUCGAUCCUAUUUUGUUGGUUUCUAGGAUUGACGUAAUGAUUAAUAGGGAUAGUUGGGGGCAUUAGUAUUCAAUUGUCAGAGGUGAAAUUCUUGGAUUUAUUGAAGACUAACUACUGCGAAAGCAUUUGCCAAGGAUGUUUUCAUUAAUCAAGAACGAAAGUUAGGGGAUCGAAGACGAUCAGAUACCGUCGUAGUCUUAACCAUAAACUAUGCCGACUAGGGAUCGGAUGAUGUUAAUUUUUUAAUGACUCAUUCGGCGCCUUACGGGAAAC
rnacentral:rRNA from 1 species